rnacentral:lncRNA from 1 species
CAAAUUCAACAACAGAGUAUAGAUGCAGGCGCCAUCUCUUUUCAAAAAUCUUUGGAUUCAACCAACCUCCAAGCUGAAGAAACCCUUCAAUUCCAGGGUAAAAUUGAAAGUACUACAUUCUAAAAAGUAUCCGCCUUUGAAGGGUAUUUUCUAUUUGGGAUUGAAUUGAACUCUUUUUUUAAAAAAAGCAUCAAUUUUUCCUAGUGCCCAUGUUCAUGUUAAAUCUUACUAAUUAACUAUCUUUUUGCUUUGAUGCUUUUAGGCAUGGCUGCAGAUCUUGGAAAAUUGAAAAUUGAGCUUAAUUAGAGAGGCAGAAGAU